CCCCUAGAUGUUCUGGGCCGCACGCGCGCUACACUGAACAGUUCAACAAGUCUUAACCUUGGCCGAUAGGUCUGGGCAAUCUUUGAACGCUGGUCGUGAUGGGGAUAGACUUUUGCAAUUUUUGGUCUUCAACGAGGAAUUCCUAGUAAACGCAAGUCAUCAACUUGCAUUGAUUACGUCCCUGCCCUUUGUACACACCGCCCGUCGCACCUACCGAUUGAAUGGUCCGGUGAAGCCUCCGGAUUGGCGCGCACCUCGGUGCCGCCGAGAAGUUGGCUAAACCUUNCNAUUUAGNGGAAGGUGAANUCGUANCA
rnacentral:rRNA from 1 species